rnacentral:rRNA from 1 species
GUGGGGAAUAUUGGACAAUGGGCGCAAGCCUGAUCCAGCCAUGCCGCGUGAGUGAUGAAGGCCCUAGGGUUGUAAAGCUCUUUCACCGGUGAAGAUAAUGACGGUAACCGGAGAAGAAGCCCCGGCUAACUUCGUGCCAGCAGCCGCGGUAAUACGAAGGGGGCUAGCGUUGUUCGGAUUUACUGGGCGUAAAGCGCACGUAGGCGGAUUGGUCAGUUAGAGGUGAAAUCCAGGAGCUCAACUCCAGAACUGCCUUUAAUACUGCCAGUCUAGAGUCCAGAAGAGGUGAGUGGAACUCCUAGUGUAGAGGUGGAAUUCGUAGAUAUUAGGAAGAACACCAGUGGCGAAGGCGGCUCACUGGUCUGGUACUGACGCUGAGGUGCGAAAGCGUGGGGAGCAAACAGGAUUAGAAACCCCAGUAGUCC